GGUUCUAGCUCAGUGGUAGAGCACUUGCCUAGCAUGUGUGAGGCUCUGGGUUCUAUUCCCAGUACUG
rnacentral:tRNA from 1 species